UCCGGCUUAUCACCGGCAGUCCCACUAGAGUGCCCAACUAAAUGCUGGCAACUAAUGGCGAGGGUUGCGCUCGUUGCGGGACUUAACCAAACAUCUCACGACACGAGCUGACGACGGCCAUGCAAGAUCUGUCACCGAGUUCAAUAAAGCACUCACUCCUUUCGGAGUAAUUCUCGGGAUGUCAAGCCCUGGUAAGGUUCUUCGUUUAACAUCGAAUUAAAGAACACGAUCCACCGCUUGUGCGGGUCCCCGUCAAUUCCUUUAUGUUUUAGUCUUGCGACCGUACUCCACAGGCGGGAUACUUAACGCGUUAGCUUCGCCACGGAGGGGGUCGAUACCCCCCACGGCUAGUAUCCAUCGUUUACGGCGUGGACUAC
rnacentral:misc_RNA from 1 species